UCAGUCCCUUAGCGAAAGCUUCCGUUGUCCAUGCCAAGAAAAUCCAUCACAAUCCGUGACAUCCCUCUCGACGGUGGCCAUUGAGAUGAUCCUGCUGGCGAGCGGAGCCCUGGCAAUGCAGGGAAAGUUCACGCUGCUUUCCUAGGGCCACCCCGCGGGGUGGUAGUGUUCGUGAACCAUCACCGGUUCCGGUUUCGGUGUGUGCGUGCGUCGUCGCGUAAGGACGAACUCUCCUUUCUCCCCUCAGCGUCAGUGAAACGAUACUGCGGAGGCAAGGCAAGAAAAUAAAACAAAAAACUAACCACCCACUGGACAAAACAAUAAUACACGAUUUUGCUUCCGUGUGGGCGAAAUCUAAAAAAGGCAAAAAAAAAACAACACCCUCGAACCUCGCACAGGCGAUCCUGGGCGGGCAAGGAAUCGUGACGAAAACAAAUAGCACUCGCUGGACGCCAGGGUUCAGUUUGACGGAAUCGCACGAGCGGAGUGCCGUUAGCAAAAGGUUAGAAGCGCGCGCGAGCCUCACAGUGUGCCCCGAGAGUGGUGAGGAUCCUUUGUGCAACAGGAUAACGCCACGCUGACGCUGUCGGUGGUGGGGCGAACAAAGAAAACCCCCGGGCAACGGGGUAGUCGUUGUGGGGGUGGUGCUACUGGUGGUGGUGGUGGUGGGCCACUUGUUGUCGCGUCGGUGUGGUUUUUGGUGCAAGCGCAUUGUCGGGCGCACCUUGCAGGGCCACGCUGUGCCCGUAGGACCAUCGAUUGGUUUUCCUUGCUUGCGGUGGGUGGGGACGAAAAGGACGAAACCGCAAGCAGGCAGGGUGAAACGCUCGUUACAAACCCGGGAAUUUGCUCGUCCGCUUAUCGAGAAAGGACGAAACGGUCCUCCGGAGUGUAUGUGUGCGUGUGCGUGCGCGCGUGGUACCGUGUGAUAGCUCUUAUCGGACGAGGCGGGCUCACCCACACCCAUAGCGCGGGUUUGCGAAAGGAUACCGCUGCCCGGUCGGUGUGUGGGUGUUUGUGCGCAUCGGAAAACGCAACAAGCGGUGGCGCGUGUGUGCAUAAUUCAACCGUGCCGUCAUCCGUGUGUUUUGGGUGGUUGAAAGCGUGAAAUCAAAGAAGAAAAAAAUGAACACAAAAUAGACGUAGUGAAGAGCGAACAAAAAAAAAGGCAUACAACCCACCUACGUACGCGUAAACACACACACACACGCGCGCACACCGUCUCACUAUCCCUGCGCCACUGCGUGUCGGGCCGUCGCGUAGUCGGUGUCAGUCGAAGGAAAAAAUCGCACCACCCUGUGUAUUGGGGUUUUUGCGCAAGAACGUGAAACGCGUGAAAAUAGGGACCCCCCGUGCGAAUUGCUGGCCAACCAGGGCCAACCCUGUACCUGUAGCGCCUGUUGCCGCGCAACGGAGUGGCCUACUUGGCGUGUGAAGGCCGCAGUGUGAGAGUAAAGGCAAUAGCACAUCUCAAGGAGUCGCGUGGCUGCUCUCGCGAACAGUGGUGCAGCGCAAUUUCAGCGUUUAAUGAUCGCCAUCCUGUUGGGUAUCGCAGCUUCACCGCCGUGGCGUUUUACCGAGCCCUGGUGUUAGUGCAGCUGAUACGCGAACGUGCGGGACGGACGCGAUAGGACACGCGUGAAGGUUGUGCUGUGGCGGUGUGCGUACACGAAGCUUGGCUGCUGCUGGUGCUGUUGCUAGGACGGCGUUGGGAAGGCAAAGAAGAAGAAAAAAAACAGCCACCCAGCCAGAAGCAGGUGCUCAUUAGCUGGUCCCGUUUCCGGCAGGCAGGUACCAGCCGGGAAAAACAGUACUCUGCGUGUGGGAAACAAGCAGGCAGCAACAUCGCUGCGAGGUAGAGGCCAUGAUGUCCUGCCCCCUUCCAUUACCAUUGCCACUACUUUCACCAGCACUGCACGCAGAUUUUCCUCCGGUUCACAUCGGAGUUAAG